CUGAACAAUGCUCCUUUGUAUUUAAGGCCCACAGGACCGGGCCUUCUAUUAUACCUACUUCUAUUGCCAACCCAACUCAAGGCUUGCAGCGCAAGAACCGCACCUGUCAACAUGAACCGAGUCUUGGGAAUGGACCUUCUUGCAGCAGUUGCGGUGGCCAUAGCUGUGAUCAUCAUGGCACCCAACGAAGCUGCUGCUCUUGGUGGCAUGGUUGGAGGAAAUAGUGGAAUCGGACUGAAAAAGAAGUGAGCCAGCAGUCACCGUGGAUGAAAUCAGGAUUCCUGUGUUUCGAUGACAUGACCCACUUGUGCAAGACAGGGCGCCAAUAAAAAAGAAGCACGAGUUGAGAAAGUAGUGCUGUGAAGUGUUACUUCGACCUUC
rnacentral:lncRNA from 1 species